rnacentral:rRNA from 1 species
UCCUACGGGAGGCAGCAGUAGGGAAUCUUGCGCAAUGGGCGAAAGCCUGACGCAGCGACGCCGCGUGAGGGAAGAAGGCCUUCGGGUUGUAAACCUCUUUCAGGAGGGACGAAGCCACUCGGGUUAAUAGCCCAGAGGGUGACGGUACCUCCAGAAGAAGCCCCGGCUAACUACGUGCCAGCAGCCGCGGUAAUACGUAGGGGGCAAGCGUUGUCCGGAUUUAUUGGGCGUAAAGAGCGUGUAGGCGGCCAUACAGGUCAGCUGUGAAAACUCGAGGCUCAACCUCGAGACGUCGGUUGAAACCGUAUGGCUAGAGUCCGGAAGAGGAGAGUGGAAUUCCCGGUGUAGCGGUGAAAUGCGCAGAUAUCGGGAAGAACACCCGUGGCGAAGGCGGCUCUCUGGGACGGUACUGACGCUGAGACGCGAAAGCGUGGGGAGCGAACAGGAUUAGAUACCCGGGUAGUCC